UUAUCGGGGUGGUUGACCGUCCGUCCGGAUUCGCCGUAGCGCGAAGCCAGGGAAGGGCGCGAUGCCUGAGAUCACACCCGUCGAACCUGAUCCGGAUAAUGCCGGUGUAGGGAAUAA
rnacentral:ncRNA from 19 species